GUGGGGACGCGGCAAUUUUGCGUUGGCAAAAAUAAUUGUAAAGCAAGGUUCAAUCGCUCCUUUGCAGCGUUAAUGGCCCAUGUCUCUCGCGGUUCUCGCUGUUUUGUCAGCAUCACCGAGACGCCAACAAUGGACGGCGAUGUUUUUGCAUCGACGGUCAAGUAACGUGCCGCCGUUUCGUGUCUUCUACAUGACUGGGAACAGCUGUGGCAUGCUUCUAUUCCGUGUCGAACGGGGUGUGUACCAAUUUCUCCUGCAGAAAAAUCAAGAAGUUGCAUGUUUCAGGCAUUGCCGGAAAAGCAUGGCACCAGCUUGAGCCUCCUCGAAACCAUUGCUCUGUUUACACUGUUAUAAAGUAACCUAAUGCACUGUGGGCUUAACUAGGGUCAUAACAUGUGUAUGAGUACAUUUACGGAGUGCAGUCUCAAAUUGGUUAUAUAGAGAAGUGUGAAAUGCAAUAUCCACCUUCUGCCCCUUUAUAAACUUGUUGCAAACUUUGUUAUGAAGAGACAAAUUUUACAGUGGUAUGACUAUGUUUGCUGACUGCUGCCUCUUAUUGCUUACAUUGAGAGAAGCGAAACAACAUAUUGGAUGUUGACCCAGUCAGUCUGUUAAAAUGGUGAAGAAAAAAGUGGACGUCAUCAGUGUUGAAGUUUAGGUCAUCAGCGCUAAAGCAUUGGGCCUGCCUUUAGAAAGCAUUGGCUCAAGCCUAUUAGCUGGUAAUGCAUAGCCUUUACAGGUCUGUUUCAAGGUGCAUGUGUUCAUGCUAGUGUAUUUUAGAAAAAUAAUUGUGCAGAUUAGUUAUCAGAACACUUUGAACGGGUGCUUUCACACUGUAGUAUGUUAGCAAUGAUAUUGAACUGAAUUUACAGCAAAAAGCUUAUGCAUUAUAGUACACUUAGUUCUGUAAACGCACUGUUUAUGGUGUGCUUUCAGAUGACCAACAUCUUGAAAUUACCAUCGACAACCCUUUAAUGCCUGAAGUAUGAAACUGCCGAAUGAAAUAAAUAUUGAAAAAAUAAAAAUAAAAAGCUCCAAGUAUCAA